UACGUAGGGUGCAAGCGUUGUCCGGAAUUAUUGGGCGUAAAGAGCUCGUAGGCGGUUUGUCGCGUCUGCUGUGAAAACUCGGGGCUUAACCCCGGGCCUGCAGUGGGUACGGGCAGACUGGAGUACUGCAGGGGAGACUGGAAUUCCUGGUGUAGCGGUGGAAUGCGCAGAUAUCAGGAGGAACACCGGUGGCGAAGGCGGGUCUCUGGGCAGUAACUGACGCUGAGGAGCGAAAGCGUGGGGAGCGAACAGG
rnacentral:rRNA from 1 species